UUCGGGGCGCUGACGAGUGGCGAACGGGUGAGUAACACGUGGAAACCUAUCCCGGGGCGGGGGACAACAGUUGGAAACGACUGCUAAUACCGCAUAAGCCCUACGGGGGAAAGAUUUAUCACCCUGGGAGGGGUCCGCGUUGGAUUAGCUAGUUGGUGGGGUAACGGCCUACCAAGGCGACGAUCCAUAGCUGGUCUGAGAGGAUGAUCAGCCACACUGGGACUGAGACACGGCCCAGACUCCUACGGGAGGCAGCAGUGGGGAAUAUUGCGCAAUGGGGGCAACCCUGACGCAGCGAUGCCGCGUGAGUGAAGAAGGCCUUCGGGUUGUAAAGCUCUUUCAGUAGGGACGAUUGUGACGGUACCUACAGAAGAAGCUCCGGCUAACUCCGUGCCAGCAGCCGCGGUAAUACGGAGGGGGCGAGCGUUGUUCGGAAUUACUGGGCGUAAAGGGCGCGUAGGCGGUUUGGCAAG
rnacentral:rRNA from 1 species